GAUGAAGAACGCAGCGAAAUGCGAUAAGUAAUGUGAAUUGCAGAAUUCAGUGAAUCAUCGAAUCUUUGAACGCACAUUGCGCCCGCCAGCAUUCUGGCGGGCAUGUCUGUUCGAGCGUCAUUUCAACCCUCGACAUCCCCUUGGGGAAGUCGGCGUUGGGGACCGGCAGCACACCGCCGGCCCCGAAAUUGAGUGGCGGCCCGUCCGCGGCGACCUCUGCGUAGUAAUCCAACCUCGCACCGGAACCCCGACGUGGCCACGCCGUAAAACACCCAACUUUCUGAACGUUGACCUCGGAUCAGGUAGGAAUACCCGCUGAACUUAAGCAUAUCAAUAAGCGGAGGA
rnacentral:misc_RNA from 1 species